AAAAAAAAAAAAAAAAAAAAAAAAAAAAAAGUAAGCCUCUUUCUUUAACAUAAAACAGUGGUGAGUUCCCACUCUUCGUGAGUGCCCUCUAGUCAGUUGGCUAGUCACUUGCACCUCGUAACUUCACAAGAAUUUGCACCUCCUUUUUCUUUCCCUUGCCUCCACUGUAUGCUUCCAGACUUUGCCAAAGGAGAGCUUCAGGGACCUCAUCCAUCACACCGUGGCUUUGUUCUGGAGUGGAGAUUUUCCCAUUGUGGUACAGGCAUCUGCUGUUAUGAAAAGAGGAACAGCUCUGAAGUUUUUGCUGUAGCUAGAAAAUUAUCUUUGCCUCAGAAGAUAAAGGAUGAGGAUUGGCAGUUUGUCAGUGAUAAGGAGAAAAAGGCAGGGGAGGAAGAGGAGGCUGCUUGAGCUAAACAGCCGGAUACACUAUAAGCCUGUGAAAAAGUGCGUGUAAAAUAACAGGCAACAGACUGGUAAGGGAAUCCAAAAAUCACUUCGAUUUGAUUGAAUUCCCACUAGUUUAAAUGCAGUUCUCAGGCUGGAACAAAUCACCUGGGAUUAACAUGUUGCAGAAUGGGUGGCAGUAAGGUAAUUUCUCAAAUUUGGUUAGGAAAUUGGCUCUGUAAAAGGUCAGUGACCUCUGUCACUCACAGGGUUGUCUGCAACCUCAGGGGACCUAAUGUGGACUCACUGCACUUUCCAACUGACACGGCUUCUGCAUGGUGCUUCCUAUUACGUGGACACUGAUUAAGUGUAUUCCAGAAGGAAGAAUGCCACCUUCUAAAUCAAACAAUUCCAAUUUCCUUCCGAGCCUGGAUUUAAUAUUUAUAGACCCCUGCAUUAUUUUCCUUUUUUUAAAAAACAUAUUCCUCCUCCUCCUCCUCCUCCUCCAAAAUCUGUGUCAGAAGGGUAAAGGGGAGAAGCAUACUUAUUCAUAAGAUUAAAUUGGUUUUAUCUUCCUCACCACCAGGCCUCAUUUGGAUAAGACAAGAUAGGUUAGGAUGUCUCUGUAAAGCACAGAGUUCCGGUUCUCUUUCUUAGUAGAGACUUUUUAAUUUCUUCUUAAUCUUUCUUAUUACUCCCGUCUGCACUCUUAGAGUGUAUUUUGAGAUAGGCUAACCUGAGGACAGUAUUCCUAGCUCAGCAGAUUAAUCAUGUUAUAUUUACAGAAUUAUGAUCUUUUUCUUUUUAUUCUUCAUACCAAGUUUUUGAAGCCUAACAUUCUACUUGCUUUCUGAUUUUCAUCGCAGUUGGGCAGUGAUUCUUAGCGAGCUGUCAUUACUUAAUUUAGGACAGCAUCCCAUUUCACAUUAGCAUUGAAAUUUGUAUUGCCACCUCACUACACUGCCUAUAUCCCAGUGUUAGUCCUUAUAGCUUUUCCUGGUUUUGCUUGACCUACACAAUUUUGCUAUCUUGCUGUUUAUUGCCCUCCUCAGAACAUUGCUACACAUAUAUAACUGCACAGACCUUGUGAAGAUUCUUGCUUUACCUUAACCUGGUUUGGGUUUUUUCAUCUCUCAGCCAGUUUGUAGUCCCUGGCAAUAAAUUGCCUCUUACCUUGAUGAAUUUCUUUACUGAAUUGCCGUACUGAAUUUCUUUAGCAGUCCCUUGUGAGGAAUUUUGUCAAAGGCAGUUUCAAAAUCUAAAUAAAUUAUGUCAAUUAAUUUUCUUUCCCCUGCAAAAUAUUUUACUGGUAUAUUGAAAGAGAGCUAAGUGGAUAAGGACACACGAGCUCCCUUUUGGCUUACUCACUCUGACUGAACCGUAUGGUCAUGAGCUUUUAGAGGAAAUCUUAUACUUCUAGUUAUAAUUAUCCCCAUGACCGAUUCACAAAGUACAAAUUCAAGAGAUUAGAAUUUUUCUAAUCAAAAGAAUGAUAUUUAUCAAGCAUUAACAAUAUAUUUGAAUAAGAAUAAAUAUUUCAAUAGUCAAAAGCUAAUACUUUUGAUUUAUUUUUCAAUAGCAAAAUAAUUUAGGCAUUGUAGAAACUUAGUGACAUUCAAAGGGUAAGCUUCCCCUCCGCAAGUCAUUUGUGCAGUCAUUAGAAGGGGAGGCCACAUGAUGUUAUGCUGAUCUUUUGGAACAAGAUAGCCAUAUGGGAGAUCUCAGCAUUACUGGUGUUUUCAAUUACAGCAAUCUUGUUUGGCAAAAAAGUACUUCUAACAGUUAGGUGAGUUUUUCCUCUCGGUUGUUACAUGGGCCUCUCAUCUCCAUCUAUCUGAGAACUUGUUAAAGCAUGCUGGCAUAUAUCAAACAUUGUAUAAAAUACUGACUCAUUGUGCUUUAGUGUUGAUCUGGCAUUAAUUUGACAUAUUUGUUCAUUAAGACAAACAAUUUAAUUAAUGAUUAUAAGCCAUAAGUUUGCAGAGUCUUGAAGACUAAUCGAAUGGCUUUUCUGAUUAAAUAAAAAUCAGAUUUGUUAAGUAGCAAAUGAAAAUAUUAGAUCGCAUUUUUCCUCAGUUUUCUUCCAAAAUCUUUCAUAAUUGUUAUAAGGGAUUACAAUUGGCAUUAUUCCUAAUUUAAUUGGUCCAAAUAUGUCAUCCCCUUAUGCUCAUCUCCAUAGGUUCCUGCUCUUUUUCUGUCUGAUGACCAUUUUUUCCCCAUUUCAAAUUGCCACAGCCUGUAAUUACAAAGAGCUCUGUCGCAACCCAUUCUAAGCAAUGAACAAUUUUCUCCACAUUAUUUCCCUUCCUUGAAAAUGGGAUAAAUAAUACUUUCCUAAGCUUUGGAAAGGUUUUGGAGGACCCAGAAUGAAACAUGCAUCUUUCAGCGGGAGAUUCAACCCAUCCCGAGGCAGGCAACUGAGAGAGAGCAUGCAUUGCCUUCUGGAAACACUUCUGUCUCCCCAUCGACUACCGGAACCGUAUGACUAUUGCUCUAAAUAAAGAUGUAAUGUAAGACUUCCAGAGGAAAAACAGAUUUCAUGAUGGAAGGCCCUAAGAAGAAAAUCAAGCGAAGAACAUUACUUAUAAAAAGUUAAGGCUGUUAUUCCUGUGCUAAAUUUUAUUUUCUACAUCCACCUCUUGACAGAAAAGGUGCAACAAAAGUGGAACCUUCUCUAAUGUACCCUAUUCAACAUUUUAUUUAGAAAAAAAUGAUUACUGUGUGUGACAUACUUGCCUUGUUUUCUCUAUAAAGCAUAGGCUAGUUGUUUGCUGAAGCUGAUACUAGAUCUAGUCUAAACAUGACUAAUGCUUUUAACCAGAUGGCUGUACUGAUAGCUCUUUUUCAAUUCUUUUUUUCAGUAUUUUCUUCCUGGGUCUCUUAUCUAUAUUUAUCUUUAGGUUUUUAGCACUGUACAUUCAUUUUAUAUACUUUUUAAUUACUUGGACUUGUUAUACAACAUUUUCUUCAUGAAGGACUCCACAAAACAGUGAAAUAAUGAAACUGUUACAAUUCAUGGCCAUUUUUUUCAUGGUCACACUCUAAUCUCUCUUAGUACUCUAUUUAAAAGUAAUUCUGGUACCUUAUCCAACUACUGCUGCAUCUUCUGAGAUAUUCCAAAGAGCUUUAUUUUCAGAAGAUAUGAAAGGUUUGCCCAUUCAUUGAGCAAGAUGUUCACAAAGACCAAGUUCUGUAUCUAUCACCUACCUGCUUUUAGACAUGCAAAUCUCACUAGCAGGUGAUGAAUUUGCAAGAACUGAGGUUAUUAUUACAUAGAAAAAACAUAAUUUUCCUUUAUAAUGGGAACCUGUGUGAAUGAACAAUUGAUUUUGCAAGUAAUUUUGGUGACUGCACAAAUGUUUCCAGUUUGGGAUUCUAUUCUCCACUCAGGUUUUUAAAAUUACUUAUUUGAAUAAUAUUAUGGAAAUACCCUUUCUCUGUAAAAUUAAACAUGUUGCAUGUACAAUUUCUGACUAAGGUUAUCUAUAUGUAGCAGUAUUGGUUCUUGAAUAAGAGUUACAGAUAAUUGCUAAAGUAAUCUACAAAACUAAGAACUAUUUUAAUAUGUCCAACCAAUUGUUUCAGCAAAAAACCCACAGCUUUUAUUGCAAUUAACUAUUUGUGUUUAGGUGGCCUGAAUUAGGCAUAGAUCACAUUCAUCAUUGAUUCAUUACAUCUUCCUGGAUGUAGCAAGCAGGGAGUCUUUUGGAAAAAAGGGACUUUCUUCUUGUCUUUGAGUCUUUUGUUCAGCCUCCCUUUCUACUUGUAAAAUAUUGGCACAUGGUUUCCUCUCAUCACCUCCAAGCUGCCAGUAUGAUCAUCAGUGUAUAUUUACAUUAUUUUGCUGGUAAUAUUUUUUGUCCUGGCUUUAAUAAAACUGAAAUUGUUUCUCCUUUGGAGGUAACAGCUCUUAAACUUCUGUCUUAAUUUGCUGCCAUAAAAAUGGUACCCUCUAAAAAGUCAAAAUGCAUCAUGCUGAUGCAAGCGCUGUUAAACACUUUAAGCAGAGUUUAAAUAAAGUCUUUCAACUUCUGAAAGAUUUUAUUUGAAGAGUUUCUUAGAGAGAGAGAAAAAAAAGCCUCAGAAAGCGGAAAAGCUAAUUAAUAUUGGCAAUGGAUCCACUCAGAGGAAACAUUUCUCUCAUAUAGUCAAAUAAAUGAUACUUUUGUACUCACUAAGUCAGAAAGCUGACACCUUGCCAAACAGAACAGUUCCGUGGUCCAAAUACCACAUUCUAAAACUAAAUAAAAACAGAUUGUGGCACAUGUGCUGGACAACUUGUUCUCAGACUGCCUGUAAUGUCCCCUUUCCGCAGAGCGUGGUGGGCUCAAGUGAUGCUUCCAAAGGGCAUGGGAGAUGGUCUCCAGUCCCACAGCACCUGGGGUCUUUCAGGCUGAAGAUUGAGGCCACACAGGAGAAGAGGGGGAAGAUAAGUGGUCUAAGAGUGGGAGAGUUGUGGCAAGAAGGUAGGAGCCUGCAGCCCAUGGAGAUACUGCUGAAAGCUGCUCCGCAACUCUGCACCCACAGUGGUGGAGGGACACUGCUCUUGGGUUUGGAGGUUGUUUGGCUGGUUGAUUUUUAAUUUUUGAAAAUUCCCAAUCUACUCUACAUGUCAGUUAUAAAAAUACUUUCUAGCCCUUAACUUGGGCUAGAAAUUUUUACUGCAUUCCCAAACAAGAAAACUUUCAAGUUAGUUAAUAGUCACUGUAUUUUUUUAUCCUGGCACUAGGAAGCAGUAUGGUUGGGAUUGAUCUGCUGCUUCUCUCACUGGCUGCUCUCCCCAUUUGGAUUUAGUCCUAGAUCAUCCAGGCACUUGGGAGAAAUCCCCAAAUAUCAUAACUAUGUGUUUUUGACUUACAGAAAUUUUUUUUUCUUAUUCCUUGUAAAUGCAUUGCCUUCCUGAAGUAUUAAGUAGUGAACAUGAGUUUCUGCUUAUAGGUAUCUAAUAGAAACCUUACAUUUCAAUAUUACACUAUUAUUUUGAAUACUGUUCUGUAGCUAGAUGAGAGCUACUUCAAUUCCUAGAAUAACUGUGCUAUUUUCAGUCUCUGACUCUCUGUCUCCCUAUUGGUGCUUUCUCCAUAUCUCCUCCUUCACAGUACUUCCUUUCUGUCCUGCUAGCUUUGUAUGGUCUCUUCCACUUACCACAAACAUGACUCUUUAGAACUGAGCAGGGUCAUCCAAAAAGGCUCUUUGGUUCUGUGGGAAAGGCAUAAAUAGUCUUGGGUUAUCGUGUUUUAUUAUUUAUUUACAUGCAGGCUGAGAUCCUAAUUCCUUAGUUUGAGCUGAUUCAAAGUAAACUAAGAGUCAUAUUAAUUUUGGGCAAGUAGUUGAGAUUAACCUAUAACUGCUUAACAGAGCUAUGUCUGAGAUGUUAAAUAGCUUCCUAAUCUAAGUACAAGAAUAUAUUUUUGCCAUCCAUUUUUUUGUUUUAGAAAAUUUGAUUUUUUAAAUAAAUUUUGAUUUAUAAUGUCAAGUAUCUAGGAAAUUCUUAGAUCAAAAAUAUUUGUUUAUUUCCCUUCAUCCUUUUUUAAAAAUUGAAUGUUGAAAUUGCACAAUAGUAUGUCUUCACUUUUAAGAUUCUGUUUUAUUUAUUUUCUUUGGUUUCCAUAAUUAUAGUGAAAUUCUGUAAUGUCCUUUAGCACUUUCUGGUUGACAAUUCAAAAGCAAUUGUACCACUUCUUUAUUAUGUGUGGUUACUAUUUUCUUCAGACAUUUAACAGUUUCUAAGAGUCUGCAUGACUUGUGUAUUACUGUUUACUUUUGGUUAAAAAGUAAAUGAGAACAUCCCCAAGCAUAUCCAGUUUCCUCAUUCCCACACAGUUACAUAGAUAUAUAUAUCUAUAUAUGUGUGUAUGUAUACACAUCCACACAUAUAUAUCCAUCUUAAACCCAGAAGAGAGGAUUUUGUAAUUGCCCCAGGUCCAUGUGUGAAUAUUCUGAAGCUACUGAAUACUUUAUUUUUACCCUGACAUUAUGCAAGUUGCUAUAAAAUAUAUGGCAUUUUCUGUUUUAAGGUCCUAGAACUCUGUAAUCUCUAUACAAUUACAUUCUUAUUAUUUGUAAAAAUGUUCUGAAUAUUAUGUUGCCCACAGUAACUCUGCUCAGACUUGGGGAAAUUUGGACAAAUAAUUAAAAAAUCUUUUGCCAUA